GAUGAACGCUGGCGGCGUGCCUAAUACAUGCAAGUCGAGCGAACAGACGAGGAGCUUGCUCCUCUGACGUUAGCGGCGGACGGGUGAGUAACACGUGGAUAACCUACCUAUAAGACUGGGAUAACUUCGGGAAACCGGAGCUAAUACCGGAUAAUAUAUUGAACCGCAUGGUUCAAUAGUGAAAGACGGUUUUGCUGUCACUUAUAGAUGGAUCCGCGCCGCAUUAGCUAGUUGGUAAGGUAACGGCUUACCAAGGCAACGAUGCGUAGCCGACCUGAGAGGGUGAUCAGCCACACUGGAACUGAGACACGGUCCAGACUCCUACGGGAGGCAGCAGUAGGGAAUCUUCCGCAAUGGGCGAAAGCCUGACGGAGCAACGCCGCGUGAGUGAUGAAGGUCUUCGGAUCGUAAAACUCUGUUAUUAGGGAAGAACAAAUGUGUAAGUAACUAUGCAGGUCUUGACGGUACCUAAUCAGAAAGCCACGGCUAACUACGUG
rnacentral:rRNA from 1 species